rnacentral:rRNA from 2 species
GCGCGCGCAGGCGGUUUCUUAAGUCUGAUGUGAAAGCCCACGGCUCAACCGUGGAGGGUCAUUGGAAACUGGGGAACUUGAGUGCAGAAGAGAAAAGCGGAAUUCCACGUGUAGCGGUGAAAUGCGUAGAGAUGUGGAGGAACACCAGUGGCGAAGGCGGCUUUUUGGUCUGUAACUGACGCUGAGGCGCGAAAGCGUGGGGAGCAAACAGGAUUAGAUACCCUGGUAGUCCACGCCGUAAACGAUGAGUGCUAAGUGUUAGAGGGUUUCCGCCCUUUAGUGCUGCAGCUAACGCAUUAAGCACUCCGCCUGGGGAGUACGGUCGCAAGACUGAAACUCAAAGGAAUUGACGGGGGCCCGCACAAGCGGUGGAGCAUGUGGUUUAAUUC